AUUGAACGCUGGCGGCAGGCUUAACACAUGCAAGUCGAGCGGAGCGAGGGUGCUUGCACCUUAGCUUAGCGGCGGACGGGUGAGUAAUGCUUAGGAAUCUGCCUAUUAGUGGGGGGCAACAUUCCGAAAGGGAUGCUAAUACCGCAUACGCCCUACGGGGGAAAGCAGGGGAUCUUCGGACCUUGCGCUAAUAGAUGAGCCUAAGUCGGAUUAGCUAGUUGGUGGGGUAAAGGCCUACCAAGGCGACGAUCUGUAGCGGGCCUGAGAGGAUGAUCCGCCACACUGGGACUGGAACAAGGCCCAGACUCCUACGGGAGGCAGCAGUGGGGAAUAUUGGACAAUGGGCGGAAGCCUGAUCCAGCCAUGCCGCGUGUGUGAAGAAGGCCUUUUGGUUGUAAAGCACUUUAAGCGAGGAGGAGGCUACUAGUAUUAAUACUACUGGAUAGUGGACGUUACUCGCAGAAUAAGCACCGGCUAACUCUGUGCCAGCCGCCGCCGUAA
rnacentral:rRNA from 1 species